rnacentral:rRNA from 1 species
UGGGGAAUUUUGGACAAUGGGCGAAAGCCUGAUCCAGCAAUGCCGCGUGUGUGAAGAAGGCCUUCGGGUUGUAAAGCACUUUUGUCCGGAAAGAAAUCCUUGGCUCUAAUACAGUCGGGGGGUGACGGUACCGGAAGAAUAAGCACCGGCUAACUACGUGCCAGCAGCCGCGGUAAUACGUAGGGUGCAAGCGUUAAUCGGAAUUACUGGGCGUAAAGCGUGCGCAGGCGGUUUGCUAAGACCGAUGUGAAAUCCCCGGGCUCAACCUGGGAACUGCAUUGGUGACUGGCAGGCUAGAGUAUGGCAGAGGGGGGUAGAAUUCCACGUGUAGCAGUGAAAUGCGUAGAGAUGUGGAGGAAUACCGAUGGCGAAGGCAGCCCCCUGGGCCAAUACUGACGCUCAUGCACGAAAGCGUGGGGAGCAAAACAGGAUUAGAUACCCUGGUAGUCCACGCCCUAAAACGAUGUCAACUAGUUGUUGGGGAUUCAUUUCCUUAGUAACGUAGCUAACGCGUGAAGUUGACCGCCUGGGGAGUACGGUCGCAAGAUUAAAACUCAAAUGAAUUGACGGGGUCAUAGCUGUUUCCU